AGUGAACGCUGGCGGUAGGCCUAACACAUGCAAGUCGAACGGCAGCACAGUAAGAGCUUGCUCUUACGGGUGGCGAGUGGCGGACGGGUGAGGAAUACAUCGGAAUCUACUUUUUCGUGGGGGAUAACGUAGGGAAACUUACGCUAAUACCGCAUACGACCUACGGGUGAAAGCAGGGGAUCUUCGGACCUUGCGCGAUUGAAUGAGCCGAUGUCGGAUUAGCUAGUUGGCGGGGUAAAGGCCCACCAAGGCGACGAUCCGUAGCUGGUCUGAGAGGAUGAUCAGCCAGCCUGGAACUGAGACAGGGUCCCGACUCCGAGGGGGGGCAGCAGUGGGGAAUAUUGGACGAUGGGGGCGAGCCUGAUCCAGCCAUACCGCGUGGGUGAAGAAGGCCUUCGGGUUGUAAAGCCCUUUUGUUGGGAAAGAAAAGCAGCAGGUUAAUACCCCGCUGUUCUGACGGUACCCAAAGAAUAAGCACCGGCUAACUUCGUG
rnacentral:rRNA from 1 species